rnacentral:rRNA from 1 species
AAAUUGAAGAGUUUGAUCAUGGCUCAGAUUGAACGCUGGCGGCAGGCCUAACACAUGCAAGUCGAGCGGAAACGAGUUGUCAGAACCUUCGGGGAACGAUAACGGCGUCGAGCGGCGGACGGGUGAGUAAUGCCUAGGAAAUUGCCCUGAUGUGGGGGAUAACCAUUGGAAACGAUGGCUAAUACCGCAUGAUGCCUACGGGCCAAAGAGGGGGACCUUCGGGCCUCUCGCGUCAGGAUAUGCCUAGGUGGGAUUAGCUAGUUGGUGAGGUAAGGGCUCACCAAGGCGACGAUCCCUAGCUGGUCUGAGAGGAUGAUC